AUGGGGCAAGGUCAAGUGGUAAGGCAACGGGUUUUGGUCCCGCUAUUCGGAGAUUGCUUUUUUGCUACAUCCAUUUCAUUAGGAAUUGAUGAUCUUUUAACAAUACCUUCUAAGGGAUGGCUAGUUCAAGAUGAUGAACAACAAAGUUUGAUUUUGAAAAAAUACCAUCAGUAUUAAAAUGUACACGCGGUAGAAAAAUUACGUCAAUCCAUUGAAAUAUGGUAUGCUACAAGUGAAUAUUUGCGCCAAGAAAUGAAUCCGAAUUUUAGGAUGACUGACCCUUUCAAUCCAGUUCAUAUAAUGUCUUUCUCGGGAGCUCGAGGAAAUGCAUCUCAGGUACAUCAAUUAGUAGGUAUGAGAGGAUUAAUGUCGGAUCCUCAAGGACAAAUGAUUGAUUUACCUAAUCAAAGCAAUUUACGCGAAGGACUCUCUUAAACAGAAUACAUCAUUUCUUGCCACGGAGCCCGUAAAGGAGUUGUGGAUACUGCUGUACGAACAUCAGACGCUGGAUAUCUCACUCGCAGACUUGUUGAAGUAGUUCAACACAUUGUUGUACGUCGAACGAAUUGUGGCACCGCCCGGGGUAUUUCUGCGAGUCCUCGGAAUGGGAUAGUGCCGGAAAGGAUUUUUAGUCAAACAUUAAUUGGCCGUGUAUUAGCAGAUGAUAUAUACAUGGGUUCACGAUGCAUUGCCACUAGAAACCAAGCCAUUGGCAUUGGACUUGUAAAUUGAUUUAUAACCUUUCGGGCACAACCAAUCUCUAUUCGAACUCCCUUUACUUGUAGGAGUACAUCUUGGAUUUGUUGAUUAUGUUAUGGGUGUAGUCCUACUCAUGGCGACCUCCUUGAAUUGGGGGAAGCUGUAGGUAUUAUUGCAGGUCAAUCGAUUGGAGAACUGGGUACUCGAUUAACAUUACGAACUUUUCAUACCGGAGGAGUAUUCACGGGGGGUACUGCAGAACAUGUGCGAGCCCCAUCUAAUGGAAAAAUAAAAUUCAAUGAGGACUUGGUUCAUCCGACACGUACACGUCAUGGGCAUCCCGCCUUUCUAUGUUUUAUAGACUUGUAUGUAACUAUUGAGAGUGAAGAUAUUCUACAUAAUGUGAAUAUUCCACCCAAAAGUUUGCUUUUAGUUCAAAACGAUCAAUACGUAGAAUCAGAACAAGUAAUUGCUGAGAUUCGCACAGGAAUAUCCACUUUGAAUUUUAAAGAGAAGGUUCGAAAACAUAUUUAUUCUGAUUCAGACGGAGAAAUGCAUUGGAGUACCGAUGUCUAUCGUGCACCGGAAUUUACAUAUGGUAAUGUUCAUCUUUUACCAAAAACAAGUCAUUUAUGGAUAUUAUUAGGAGGGCCGUGCAGGUCCAGUCUAGUCUACCUUUCGAUCCACAAGGAUCAGGAUCAAAUGAAUGAUCAGGCGAGGCAGAAAUUGUUUAGUUCGAAUUUUUAUGGUAAAAAAGAAGAUAGGAUUCCUGAUUAUUCUGACCUUAAUCGAAUCAUAUGUACUGACCAGUAUAAUCUCGUAUAUUCACCUAUUCUUCACGGGAAAUCUGCUUUAUUGUCAAAAAGGCGAAGAAAUAAAUUCAUCAUUCCACUACACUCGAUUCAAGAACUCGAGAAUGAACUAAUGCCCUAUUCAGGUAUCUCGAUUGAAAUCCCCGUAAAUGGUAUUUUCCGUCGAAAUAGUAUUCUUGCUUAUUUCGAUGAUCCUCGAUACAGAAGAAAGAGUUCGGGCAUUAUUAAAUAUGGGACUAUAGAAACGCAUUCAGUCAUCAAAAAAGAGGAUUUGAUUGAGUAUCGAGGAGUCAAGGAAUUUAGGCCAAAAUACCAAAUGAAAGUAGAUCGAUUUUUUUUCAUUCCUGAAGAGGUGCAUAUCUUGCCCGGAUCUUCUUCCCAAAUGGUACGGAACAAUAGUAUCGUUGGGGUCGAUACACAAAUCACCUUAAAUCUAAGAAGCUGAGUCGGUGGGUUGGUCCGGGUGGAGAGAAAAAAAAUGAAUUGAACUAAAAAUCUUUUCUGGAGAUAUCCAUUUUCCUGUAGAGACGGAUAAGAUAUCCAGGCGUACCGGCGUUUUGAUACCACCAGGAACAGGAAAAAGAAAUUCCAAGGAAUACAAACAAGUUCAAAAUUGGAUCUAUGUCCAACGAAUUAUACCUAGUAAGAAAAGGUUUUUUGUUUUAGUUCGACCUAUCGUCACAUAUGAAAUAAUGGACGGUAUAAAUUUAGGAACCUUUUCCACCGGAUCCAUUGCAGGAAAGGGAUAAUGUGCAACUUCGAAAUGUCAAUUAUAUCCUUUAUGGAAAUGGCAAACCGAUUCGAGGAAUUUCUGACACAAGUAUUCAAUUAGUUCAGACUUGUUUAGUAUUGAAUUGGAACCAAGACAAAAAAAGUUCUUCUUGCGAAGAAGCCCGUGCUUCUUUUGUUGAAAUAAGGACAAAUGGUUUGAUUUGACAUUUCCUAAAAAUCAACUUAGUGAAAUCCCCUAUUUUGUAUAUCGAAAAAAGGAAUGAUCCGUCGGGGUCAAGAUUGCUCUCUGAUAAUGGAUCAGAUUGUACCAAUAUCAAUCCCUUUUCUGCUAUUUAUUCCUAUUCCAAGGCAAAAAUUCAACAAUCUCUUAACCAACCUCAAGGAACUAUUCAUACGUUGUUGAAUAGAAAUAAGGAAUGUCAGUCGUUGAUAAUUUUGUCAGCAGCCAAUUGUUCUCGAAUGGAGCCAUUCAAAGAUGUAAAA